AUUGAACGCUGGCGGCAUGCCUUACACAUGCAAGUCGAACGGCAGCACGGGUGCUUGCACCUGGUGGCGAGUGGCGAACGGGUGAGUAAUAUAUCGGAACGUACCUUAUUGUGUGGGAUAACGCAGCGAAAGCUGUGCUAAUACCGCAUAAUCCCUAAGGGGUAAAGCGGGGGACCGUAAGGCCUCGCGCAAUUAGAGCGGCCGAUACCUGAUUAGCUAGUUGGUGAGGGAAAGGCUCACCAAGGCAACGAUCAGUAGCUGGUCUGAGAGGACGAUCAGCCACACUGGGACUGAGACACGGCCCAGACUCCUACGGGAGGCAGCAGUGGGGAAUUUUGGACAAUGGGGGCAACCCUGAUCCAGCAAUGCCGCGUGAGUGAAGAAGGCCUUCGGGUUGUAAAGCUCUUUUGUCAGGGAAGAAACAGCAGCUUUAACACAGUUUGCGAAAGACGGUACCUGAAGAAUAAGCACCGGCUAACUACGUGCCAGCCGCCGCCGUAA
rnacentral:rRNA from 1 species